rnacentral:lncRNA from 10 species
AAAAAUGAGGGUUCUAAUGGUAUAUGUAUCUUGCAAAGUUGGCAUGUGAAUCACAACAAAUGUGAUAAAAGAUAUGCAUAUACUUUUAUUUUGUAAUAUAAUGCAUUAUACAAAUUUUUGAAAUGUAUAAUGGUUUCAUUUAUACAUAGAUAUAGACAUAGAUAUGUGUAUGCAUAUAUUUGUAUGCACACACAAUGAAUAUGAAUGUGCAUGCAUAUUGCAUUAUAUGCUUAAGAGAGCCUAACCCCCUCCACACACUGGGGCUUCCUUUUUUCAAGCCCUAUCUUUAUCCAGGUGGGAAAAUGCCUCAAAAGCCUUAAGUCAGAUCAAGCAAUGAUCACCAGUUAAUGCACAGAAAUAACUAAAUGGGACUCAUGUUCCUCUUGUUUCUGGGCAGGGUGGAGGAGGAAGAAGUCUUUAAUCUUCUGAGUUGUGCCUUAUUAGGCAGCAGAGAGAUGCUCUCUGACUUGGCACGUGGCCUGUGAUCUUCCAGGAUGAAAAGUUCUGUCUGAAUGCAGGCAGGGAUGAUUUGCUAAUCAAGGAUGAGACAGAGCAAGUGGCAUGCCCAACAGGACAGGGACAGCCAGGCUGAGGCCACCCCCUUCCUAUUGAUUUAUAUUUCUAUUCACUGUUCUGAAAUGUGGAGAGCUCAUAACCCUCCGGAAAGACCGUUUCAGCUGCUGGUGGGGAGUUAGUGUUUCAGGAAUGAGGGUGGUGAGGAGAAGCCUUUGCUCUGAAACUUAUGUGGUCUGGAAACUUCAGGAUCUUAUCUUCCUCCUUCUCUUCUCUCCUCCUCCUUGUCUUUCCUCUCCUCCUCUUUUUCCUCCUUUUGCUGUCAGUUGCCUAAGGGAAGGGAUCUUGGCCUUAGCUGCUAAGUUGCCAGGGUUGUUCAGGGAAGGCUAAAAGAUGCAGGAGGCAAGAGGAAGCCCAAGGCCUUUCUUGUCUCAUCAGUCUUUCCGGGUCCUGGGCUGAGGCAGACAGGAUGGCUCGGUGAGCUUGUGACAACAUUCCAGGCCUGCAGCUCGGAUGGCAGCUGUCCAUGGCAGGCCAGACUUUGGAAUAUCUCACUAGAACCUUGCUUGUCUCACAGCCCCCACCCCGAAGCUAACACCCUUUUGUCUCCAGCUGGUCCUUGGCCCCCUGCUGUUCUCAUUUGUGAUUUUAUUUUCCCUGAAUGCAGGGAGUUACUCAGAGCUGGGCUCUUGUCCAACUGGUCCUGCACGAUCUUUUUCUUCCCCGGGAUGCUAGCUCCUCUUCUUGAGGAUUCUUGCUGGGUCUGCCUUCCCUCUCUCCAUCUGGUGCUGUACGCCCGCUGAGUGGGCCCUGCAGGGCUGGAGUUGGCUAGGCUGGGCAGCCAGCAAGCCAGCAAAGCCCCUACAGCCGUGAACCGGGAAUCCAGGAUGCCUACUCUGCCAGUCUAUGUCAAAAAGACAAAACACCUAGAGAGGUUUAAAAACAUUCAGGAGAAGAAAAAGCAAGCGCACAGCAUGAGAGAGCUUUGUCCAGCCAGCACUUUUACUAGCAAUAAAUCUGCCUUAAAAUGUAUAAGGAUAUACAGAAAAAGAAAAUUGAGCAAAUCACUUUGGUGGAAACCCAUUUCUCCCGCACUCGGCCAUUUCUCUGCAUCAGCUCUUCACUCUCCCAGGGAGAGCUCCCAGCCAAGUAAGACAACAGUGUAAACAAAAGUCACCCCAGGCCCAAAACCAAGUUUCCUGCAGGGCACUGUCUGCUGCGGCUGGCAGAACCUACUGGGUUUCUGGCUUUGUGCUGACCUUUGCAAGUGUGCUUCAGCUGGAAAAAUCAGACCUAUCUAUCUAUCUCCAUGUUGAAGACCCCCCCCGGGUUCAGGCUAUACAGGGUGGACAAGGUCCAAGUGUCUCAUCCUUCCUGAUCCUGAGGACGGUGGUGGUUUCUGGAGGAGUCCAAAGUGAUCCCAGCCAUACUGCCUGGGAAUGAUUGCUUACCACCCAGGAACAGAACCUGGGGUCUAUUCUCUGCAGCUGGAUCUAUGGAGGUCAGACGAGUCUGCUAUAACAUAUUUUGUUAUGUGAAAUUGUAGCACGACAAGCUGCAGACAAAACUCCUCAGACACGGAGUCAAAGAAGGAAGAGGUUUAUUCGGCCGGGAGCAUCGGCAGGACUCCUGUCUCAAGAGCCAAGCUCCCCAGGUGAGCAAUUCCUGUCCCUUUUAAGGGCUCACAACUCUAAGGAGGUCCGCGUGAGAGGGUCAUGAUUGAUUGAGCAAGCAGGGGGUACGUGACAGGGGCCGCGUGCACCGGUGGUCAGAGUGAAACAGAACAGACCGGGAAGUUUUACAAUGUCUUUCUAUAAUCUAUAAAUAACAUCAGUUGCUAAGUCAGGGGUCGAAUUUUAACUACCAGGCUUAGGUCAGGCAGGCCCAGGCCUGGUUUCAGGUCUGGUUUUCAGGUCUUGGUUUCGGGUCUGGUUCCUAGGCGCCAGCCUACCUGCCUUUAGUUUUGCUUCUCUUGCCUUUUCUGAGGAUAAAACAACAUGAAAGGGUCUGUCUCUCUUCUCUCAAAAUAAGCCAGGCACAGAAAUACAAAUACUGCAUGGUCUCACUCAUAUGCAGAAUCUAAAAAAGUUGAUCUUGAAGGAAUUCAGAAAAUGCCGCCCCAAAAUGUAUUGUUUUAGACUUAAAACUGAGGGCACUUAGGAAUAGUAAAUGCAGAAAGGGGCUUCCUCUGAACUUCCUUAAUGUACCUAAAGACAGAUCCUCCAAGAGGAGCACAACUGUCAUGAAUGCCCUCCCAGGGAAUCUCAUCAACCAAGGAAGAUUAAACUCAGAUCACAGCAGAGGAGCCGGGAGGUUGAUGCCAGGACCAGACAGACUUUGUCACAGGCUGUCACCUACUUCUCUGGAGGGCUAUUCAUCUUUAAUUAUUUAUUUAUUUUUAAUUUUUUUUUAGAGACAAGGUCUCUCUCUUUCUUCCAGGCUAUGGUGUGGUGGUGCAAUCAUAACUCACUGCAACCUUCAUCUCCUGGGCUCAAAGAAUUCUCCCACCUCAGCCUCCCAAGAUGGGACUACAGGUGCACACCACCAUGCCUGGCUGAUUGUUUAAUGUUUUUGUAGAAAUAAGGUCUCACUAUGUUGCUCAGGCUGGUCUCAAACUCCUGGCCUCAAGCAAUCCUCCUACCUCAACCUCCCAAAGUACUAGGAUUAUAAGUGUGAGCCAUUAUGCCUGGCUCCAUUCACCUUUUCCAAAAAUCACUUAAACUAGGCUAAGUCGCUUACAUCCCCCAUGCCUUCUCUCCUACAAAGAAGGUGUAUACUCUUCUAGAUCUCACUGGGAUUUGGGGUAUUCUCUUUUCCUUCAUGUGAUGCCCCCAUGCGUGUAAUACCUUUGUAUCAUAGUCCCCCCUUACCCACAAGGAAUACAUCCCAAGACCCCCAGUGGAUGCCAGAAACUGUGAAGAGUAUUGAACCCUAUAUAUUCUAUAUAUUUUCCCAUACAGUAAUGGGCAGGUAGCAUCUACAGUAUGAAUACACUGGACAAAGGGAUGAUUCAUGUCCCUAUCAGGACAGAGUGGGAUGGCACAAGGUAUCAUCAUGCUACUCAGAAUGGAAUGCAAUUUCAAGCUUAAGAAUUGUUUAUUUCUGGAAUUUUCCAUUUGAUGUUUUGACUGAGGUUAACAAACUGCAGAAAGAAAAAUCAAAGAUAAGCUGGAACUACUGUGUACUUUUUCUCCUGUUACUCUGCCUACUGUCUGUUUAUUUCAUAGACUCAAAUAUUGAACCCUCAGAGGGUAGAGAGUCUUCCCUGUGUCUAGAAUGGUGAUUACCAGGAAGUUGAGAAUAGAAUGGUGGUUACCACGGGUGGAGCAGUGGUUGGGGAAGGGCUUGGGAGCUGUUAUCAAAGGUUACAAGAUCUCAGUUAGAUAAGAGGAAGAAGUUCAAGAGAUCUAGUGUACCAAAUGGUGACUGUUGUUAAUAAAACACAUUGUAUUCUUUAAAAAUGCUGAAAGGGUAGAUUUUUAGUCUUCUCGCCACAAAAAUGACAAUUAUAUGAGAUAAUGCCUAGGUUAGUUUGAUUUAGCCAUUCCAUAAUGUACAUAUUUUAAAGCAUGAUUAUGUACAUGAUAAAUAUAUACAAUUCCAUCUGUCAAUUAAAAAUAAAAUAAAAUAUGUCUGCAAUUCCCUUCAGGUAUUCAUCACUAGCUAUGCAAAACUGGAAUUUCAUGUCCUUACACAAUAAAGGCAAUGUGCAAUGGGCAAUGCUUAUCACAUGUUUCUGAAUGCAGAGCCCAGUGCUAAUUUCUCAGGACAAGGCUCCUUACUCAUCUGCUGAGCCCUUUACUCAUUUACCUUUGUGAUCAUUUAGGCCACACCAUUGGGCCCACAUUGCUGUUUCUGCUACUCCAAGAAGAUCAAGAGAGAGCCACCAUAGCAGAAUGAGAUUCCAAGCCUUCUCAUGCAUCCCUCAGGGAUCAGGCCUGGCCUUGGUCUCUAGAAAGCUCUUGCUGAUUACUCUGGGAGUUUGAAUCUCAGUGAUCACAGUCUGCCCUGGCCUGAUCCCAAGGGCACAAGCACACAGGAACCUGGAGGCAGAUGUGUAACCUCAAAGAGAGUAAUUAUGUCCUAGCCAAUAAAUAAACAAUCACUGGAACAAUUAGUGCUCACCCCUUUGAAAUUUGCAUCUCACCUCAGAACAAUCUUGCUCUUCAACCUUGUCAAUACGUUGAUAUGUUAUAAAUAAGUGGUUUUACUGGGAUGAGAUGCAAGCUAUCUUGAAGCUAACUAAGCAUGACUAGAAUACACUAUCUCUCACGUCCCAGGAAGUUAUUUGCAUUCUGAUACAAACUGAUGCUAGAUUCCUAAACCUAAUCAUGAUCCUCAGCUGCAGUAAGGACCACUGACCUACUAUGUUAUUGUGAAAUAUAUAUUUGGACCUCUUUCUCCACAUUUCCUGGCCCACACCUCCUAAAACCCUUGGGAUCUCUGGAAUAAGAAAAGUGAUUUUUUGUAUGCUAAUGAGAUGACUGGUGGCUGGCAACCCCUAUAUAGCUUUCAAAAUACCAAGGCAUGAUUAGAGGAUUGAGUUUUUAGCCCCACCACCCAACCUCCUGGCAGGAAAGAGAGGAAGAAGACUAAGUUGAUUACUAAUGGUCAAUAAUUUAAUCAAUCAUGCCUGCAUAAUAAUGCUUCAUAAAAACCCCAAAGGACCUGGUUUGGCUAGCUUCUGGCUAGCUGAACAUGUGGGGGCUUCUGCAGGCUGGUGCCCCCGGAAAAGGCAUGGAAGCUUCAAGCCCCUUCCUUCAUAUAUUACCCUAACAUUUCUUCCACUGGCUAUUUAUUUGUAUCCUUUGUAAUAUCCUUUAUAUUAAAUAGGUUAAAGUAAGUACACUUUUUCCCUAAGUUCUGUGAGCCAUUCUAGCAAAUUAAUUGAACAAGAAAGGGUCAUGGGAAUCCCUGAUUUAUAACAAGUGGGUCAAAAGUAUAAAAUGUCAAUCUGCUACUUGCAACUAGCAUCUGAAAUUGGGGGUAGUCUUGUGGGACUCAGCCUUCAACCUGUGGAAUCUGACACUUUCUCCAGGUAGAUAGUGUCACAAUUGAAUUGCAUUGUGGAGGAUACCCAGCUAGUAUCUGCUAUGGAAUUGCUUGGUUGGUGCGUGGGGAAAAACCCCCAUGUGUUUUGGUGACCAGAGGCAAAGUGUUCUAUGUUAUAGUGACUGUGUGAGCGUAGAGAAAAACACUUUGUGUUUUUUUUUUCCUAUGUCUUAUAGACCCACUAAUGGACUAAGUAAUGUUUCUGUUGGUGACUCUAAGCAAGGAAAACAAAUAAGGCAAAGAAGGAGGUAAAAGAGACAAGUAAGACAUCUGAGAACCUGCAAUGACUCUUGGGAAGACAUCAAAGCAGAAAAAGAAAGAAGUGGCAAGUGACAAAAGAGAUGUUUUUGACCUUCGUGGAGAAGAAGUUUGGUGGUGGGGCAGGAGCAGAAGUUAGAACUCGGGAUUUCUUUGUUCACCUUGGCUGCGAAGCCACCCAUAUAUGACCAGUGUUGAAACUCAUUGCACCAGGCCAACCAAUUAGUCUGUAUUGGCCCCAUAAACUUUGAGCUGACAAGUAUCAAGUGAAAGGUUCUUGAGAAUAAGACUGAAAAAUCCUUCUUACUUCCCCCUACAAAAAAAAUUCUCCAGCCCCAGAAUGUUAUUCCUUCCCAAGAAACACAAAUUAACUAGCUGCACUAAUGACCUCCAGACCAACACAAACCCAUUUCCCCUUGAAAUUAACCUUCUAUUCUGAAUCUAAACAGUGUCUAAUUAGCCCCAAACACUGGUGAGCUAACUGGAAGAGAAGAAUGUAGGAAAUCAAAACAAGGGGAUAGUUUUACGGUUGGAAAAAAAAAAAUAGCGAAAAGCCAUCCUCCAAUUAUCCUAUCCUUCUAACCUCCGCCCCCAGAUCCUUAUCCUGCAUCUUCAUUUGUCUUCCUUUCCGUAAACCUUGUAAAGGAGUCUGCUUUUCAGACAAAUAUUUUUCCCAGCUCAUUUGACACCUAGAAGGCAGGAAAAAUAUUGCCCAUCACGAUAAAUAUAAUAUUCCAAUUUUCCAGCAUUUGACAGCAAUCAAGGGAAGAGUAAUGUGUUCCCUCUGUGACUAAAUCAUUUAGAGACCAAGGUAUUCUGUCUCAUUCUCAUUAGGAAAAAAAAAUAUUCCAAUAAUCUCAUUAUCCCAGUGUGAAUAACAGUAAAAAAGCACCAAGACUAAUGACUUCUUCCGCGCUUGCCUCCGCAGAUACCAGCCCAGGCCGUGCUUUUAUAGGCAAUGCUUGGGUAAUGGAGUCUCCCUUAGCAGCGAUCCUGUAGCAUCUGCUGCUCUGAAAGCCCUGCCUAACACAUUCUGCUUUGUCUGCAGCAAGGUUUACACACACCCCUGGACUCCAAAGACUCUUUUUUAUGUACUUUUUAAAAAACUAACUCCAAUGGAAAAAGAAUGUGUCAUGGCAUGUUAAACUUUAUGGAAAUUCUUCUGGAGAAUAACAUAAUUUCACGGUGCAUUACUCUGAAAUGACCUAGUACUUGAACAAUUAAUUUUUAAGGUGUAGCAUUGACUUCCCCUUGCUGUAUUUAACCCAUAUCUGAAAUUGUCAACAAUGCCAAGGGUUGGACAAUGAGUUGGGAGAAGAGCAGGAGCCUGAAAAUUACUCCCUAUCUACUAUGUUUUCUUUUAUCAGACAUAAUGCUUCCCUCUUUGGUUCAAAAAUGAAAAGAGAAGGGAGCAGGUACUUUAGUUAGGGACACUUCAUAGGCAGCACAGCCUGGCAGGUAAAUAGUGCAGUCCUGGAGACAUAAACUCGACGUCUUACCUUUGUCAUUAAUUUACUGUGUAGCCUUAGAGAAACUCCUUUUUCUCUCUGUAGCUAAAAUGGGGGAAGGAGAGGUUUUGUUUGUUAUGCCCCCAAAAGGAAUUCAGUGAUAGAAAAUGAAUAGAUGUAUAAUAUAUCCUCUGAUUCCUUGAAAUAAAAGCUCUGAAUGUUUUUUCUUUUUUUUUCUUUUUUUGCUGUCCUUUUUACACCUUAUUUUUAUCUCUACACUCUUGCAUUCCUCACCUCCUUCACUGCACCCUCCCUGUCCUUAAACACACAGGUAAAUGGAGAAUUGGUAUGCAAGAGCAUCUUCUCAAGACUAGCAUGAAACACUUCAAAUGCAUAGGAAAAAGCCAUAGAGUGGUACAGUUGGAAAGAAUCUUAUAAAAGAUUCCUGUGAAUUUUUUCUCUUUGAGGAAAAAAAAAGACUCACAGAGGACAGAUUUCUCCCAAGGUCACACAGUGGUUUACUGGUAGAACGACCACUUCCCAGUCUAUCACUCUGCCCUCUAGGCCGAGUGAAUGACACCAUUAUUGUUUUCUAUUAUAGAGUUCAUGAAAGCAACACUGGACUUAUAUAUACAUGCAUCAGAAUAAAGGGAUUUUAGGGUUUGAAAAAAGCCUUAUAAAUCACCAAGCCUGGUCUGCUGGGUGGGUGAUCAAUUGUCCAGGUUUGCCUGGAACGGAGGGGCUGUUCAACACACGGAACAGGAGAGCCCUGGGCCAACAGAUUAGUUGGUCACCAAGCCUACCCCCAAAUGACACUUAAAUUUAUUCUCCAACCUUCAGCAUCCUAACAUGAAUCUCUUUAGCACUAGAGCAUUUAUGACAUUCUCAUUUAGUAAAUUGCAUUGCUGGAACUGUCACCUAUAACUAUAGGUCUUUAUUCUGCCAUGUGAGGUCCCACUGAACAAUAUAGAGGGUGGCUCUGUAGAAAACUGGCCACAGCCAUUCCAACAUGGGUCCUCUCUGCCGUAUUAGAAUCUGAAAAGACAAUAUAAUUAAAAGCUACAUGGACAUGGCAAAACAUUCUAAAUUUGUUUCUCUCUCUCUUAGCCUUUGUUUGAUAAGAGCAACCUCUUCUCUCUUACGGCCUACUUACUGGAAGCAUUAUUUAGUGACUGUAUAUAUUGUUUUUUACUUAUCUGAGAUUUCAGUGGCUCAUAUCCCAUUCUGGAACAGUUUUCCUUUUAGGGAUUGGCCACAGGAUGAUCAGAUAGCAUGGGGGACAGAUUUCUGAGGCAUUAGAACAAACAAAAGCAGGGUUUUUUUUGGUAAAAUCUUUCUGCAACCGAGAUAACAUUUCCAGCCACAUAUAUCUAAUAGGGCAACAACUCCUCCCAGAUGAGAAUGGCUUUUUUUUAGUACUCUGAUUGGAUGAGUGACUGCUGCAACCUCGCCAUUUAUUUCCUGGGAAACUAUCUUGACGGGCUAUUAGUUCUGUUCAAGGAAUUGGUAAUUACCUUCAUCCCAUAGGACAAUGGUCAUUUGGGUGAUUUUUCAGCGGAUGAAGACAAAGAGUUGAGUCCACACACACACACACACACAAAAUUACACGAAGGAAAAAUUUUGGUUGGGCCUUCUCUUCUUCCAAUCUUCAGCUUUUCCCUUAUCCUUCUCACUUUUUCAGGGAGCAGUGUUUUUCAGCUCCCCUUCAGCUUCCCAAAGCUUCCCCACUUUCUCAUUGAAUUUUCUCUCCUAAGUGUUACAUGGUCCGAGUCACUAUUACCACCCAAAAAAAUUAAUUAAAAUGAAAAAAAAAAAAUCUGUUCGUGAUUCUAAGUAUUCAAAAGAAAGCAAUUUAAUUGUCUGAUUAAAGAAAUUUAUACUAAGGUGAGAAUAUAAGGUUUAACUUUCAUAAGGGAUUUUGUCUUAAAAAAGGAGUUAGCUAGAAAGCAAGUCUCUAAUUGAUGUUACAGAUGUAUAGGGAGAAGAGGGGUCUUUACUAAAGCUUGCCGAUGCUGGCUAACUCUUUUCCCUUUCAUCUUGUCCUGUUGAAAGCAUCCCAUUUAUAUAUUAUACUGGAAUGGAAGCUGGCAGCUCCUCUGACUGCUUCUAUUUUUAAAAAGAAAGAAAAAUUAUAAUCACAUACAGCCAGUUGCCUUGUAAAAUAGCCCUCAAUUUGGAUCUGUUUGAUAUUUUUUCAUAAUUUUAUUCAGCUUAUAUAUUUUUGCAUGAAUAUAACAAAAUAUAUGCUGUAUUCAUCAUGAUGAAACAUACCAGGAAGCACAUAAUGUCUAUUUGUCCAAUUACUGAUGAUAUUAACUUGAUUAAAAUGGAGUUUACCAGCUAGCUUCACUAUACAGUUAAUUCAUAUUUUGUAAUUAUUGGUUAAUAAGUAAUUUGUGGAGAAACGCUUUGGCAGUACAAAAAUAUCUUGCUCUUAUUCUAACUUUUACCCACACAUUUUAACAUCCAUUGGUGAUUCUUGUCUGAGUCAUUUAAUAUUACGGUGAUUGAAAAAUGGUGAUUUUUCUAAUGCCUAUAUUACUUCAACACUUAUCAGUUGGCAUUUUACUCCAAGGUAGAACUAUCUCUUCUCAUCCAUCCAUUCAAUUGUUUAUAUUAGUAUGGGGUUACAGAUUUCUUUUUUGCUGAGUAAGUCAUAACCCAUUAUUUAUUUUUAUGUUCAAAUUGUUCCAAAUUGGGCCAGUAGAUGUUCAAAGGAACAGAUUCUUAUAUCCUUCUGUCAUAUCCCCAUCACUCUGAGCACUUUCUUACUUUCCAACACAUGAAAGUGUUGCAGACACAUCUUGUACUUUCCAUGACUCAGCUCAAUCAUCAUUAUUUCCAGGUGGAGGUGAGAGGGUCACUUCAGACCUGGAGUUGGAGACCAGCCUGGGCAACACAGAAAGACCCCAUCCCUAAAAAAAUAAAAAAAUUAGCCAAGCAUAGUGGCAUGCACCUGUAGUCCCAGCAAGUUGGGAGACUGAAGCAGGAAGGUCACUUGAGCCCAGGAGACAUAAUCUGAUUAUGCCACUGCACUCCAGCCUGGGCAAUAGAGGGAGACACCAAGUCUAAAAAAAAAAAGAAACAAAAACAAACAUACAAACAAAAAACACAAUGAUUGUCUUUAGGAAGUCCUGGUUUCUUUUAGUGGAUAAAUGGUAUUUAGAAAGCAAGAUCUAAGUGUGUUUACUGCUCCUGAGUGUCAUUGAUUCUAGGUCCAGUCAAUGGGCAAACCUCAUAAAUACUCAUACACACACACCUACAUCUACAUUUAUUUCUGUUCAUCUCUAUUUUGUGUCUAUAUGUAUAUUUUUUAGAUACAUAAGUAGGUAAAUAAAUAGACAGAUAGAUGUAAAACCAUGAGUUCACACCAAUACGUAAAUUCCAAUCCAACACUUAGAGUUUAUUGUGGCCUCCCCUCUUUCCCUGUUUGUUUUCAUUUUGAGACAGGGUCUUGUUCUGUUGCCCAGGGUAAAGUGCAGUGGUGUCAUCACGGCCCAUGCAGCCUUGACCUCCUGGGCUCCAGAAACCCUCCCACCUCAGCUUCCUGACUAGCUCGGACUACAGGCACAUGCCACUAUGCCCAACUAAUUUUUUAAUGUUUUUUUAGAGAUGGGGUCUCACUAUGUGGCCCAAGCUAGUCUAGAACUCUUGGGCUCCAGCAGUCGUCCCACCUCAGCCUUCCAAAGUGCUGGGAUUACAGGCAUGCACCAACAUGCCCAGCCAUAUUUGUAACUUUGUCCUUUAAUAGUAAAAAACUGGAUGCCACUGUACUCAAAAUAUUUACUUAUGUGCCCAAUCUCUCUUCACUUAACCAGUCUCAGAUCCUCUCUUGGCCACAGCCACACUGGUUCUAAUCACCCAGAUUUGCCUCCUUGGCCCCACCCUACUAGACUCUACUACCCCGGUUGAAUACUUGGCCCUAAUCCCACAAGACACAUCACAGAGCUGGUCAGUUCUUCACACUCACCCUAUAUUGUUACAAAUUUUUGCGUUAAUAGUAAUUAGUUUUUUACAACAAUUUAAAAAGAAAGAUCUUUUACAUUUACCCAUGGUUUUACCCUUUGUAGAGCUCUUCAUUCCUUCUUGAAAAACCAGCUUCCAUCUGAUAUCAGAUAAAUAUCCUAUGUUAUUUUUGUAGUUCAGGUCUGCUGAAGACGAAUUAUCUCUGCUCUUAUCUGACUGAAAAUUUUAAUAAAUAUAGAAUUCUAGGUUGACAGGCUUUUUUUUUCCUUUCAGCACUUUGAAAAUAUUAUUUAAUUGCCUCCUACCUUCAUUAUUUCUAAUAAGUGCACUUGGCAUAAUCAGCCAACAUUCUUAAUGUUGUUCCAUUCAUAUUUGGUAUUCAUCAGUUUGAUUAUGACAUAUUUGUAUCAUUUAUUUACACUUUGGAGUUUGCUAAACUUUUAGGAUCUAUGAGUUGAUGUUUUUAAUCAAUUUUGAAGAAUUCUAGACUAUUAUCUAUUUAAAUAUUUCUUCUGCACUAGUAUCUUGUCCUUUUCUCCUUCUGAAAUUCUAAUUAUAUGUAUUCUUAACCUUUUGAUAUUGUCUGACAGGUCUCAGACAUUCUGUUUGGUUCUGUUUCCGUUAUCUUUUCUCUUUGAUUUUCACUUUGGACAGUUUUCUAUAUUUCUAUUGAUAAUGUCUUUUCAUGUUUCCAGACUGCUGUUCAGGUCAUUGAAUGAAUUCUUCUGAUGUUGUAUUUCUUAUUUCUAAUGUUUCCAGGUGGUUCUUUUUAUACUUUUUUUCUGUUGAAAUAUUUAAUGCAGUUAUAAUGGAUUAUUUAAAGUCCUUGUCUGCUAAUUCCAAUAUCGGAACCGUUUGUGGGUCUCCAACUGACUGUUUUUUUUAUUAUGGCUUACAUUUUCUACCUUCUAUGUUUUAUAAUUUUUAUUGUAUAUAAGACAUCAUGUGUAAAAGGACAAUAAAGACUGAAAUAAAUGAUAUUUCCUCCCAGAAAAAAAAGUAUACUUCUUUCCAUCCCAGGCUGAUAAGAGUUUGAGGGCAAAGUGAAUGUAAUCUGCACUUGAGCAAGAUUUGAGAUUUUUAGCAACUGGGUUAUAUUUAGCUUACUAAUGGUUUCAAUUAUUUUGGGGGACAUUAGAAAUUUCUAGUUCAAUAUGUCAACUGCUAUUUACAUCUUCAUUCAAAGUAAUAACUCUUGAAAAAAAUAAGCCCUUAUUCCCCUCGUCAUACCCCAAAUAGGGCAUGAUUGAAAGUAGGGAUUAGGCCUUUCCUUCCAGCAGUGCUCAGAAUUUGUGUACUUGUGAUAAUCUGUAGAUCUCUUUAGGCAUUAUUUUUCCAAAUUAUGGGCUGUCUCUCUCCUUCCCAGCCGUGUUGACAACUUUUUCAGUCACCAAAGAAUUUUCUUUGCUCUCAAGCUCUAAUGUUGGCUCACCGUAUCUUAGAAGAACUAUCUUCUCUUCUGCAGGCCUGUUCCCAGCCUUCACUGGACCACCAUACUGUACUUGGAAAAGGCCCAAAAGGCC